AACCUCCGCAAUGUGAGAAAUCGCGACGGGGGGAUCCCAAGUGCCAUUCCUAACGGGAUGGCUUUUCAUUAGUGUAAAGAGCUUUUGGAAUAAGAGCUGGGCAAGACCGGUGCCAGCCGCCGCGGUAACACCGGCAGCUCUAGUGGUAACAAUUUUUAUUGGGCCUAAAGCGUCCGUAGCCGGUUUAAUAAGUCUCUGGUGAAAUCCUGUAGCUUAACUGUGGGAAUUGCUGGAGAUACUAUUAGACUUGAGACCGGGAGAGGUUAGAGGUACUCCCAGGGUAGAGGUGAAAUUCUGUAAUCCUGGGAGGACCGCCUGUUGCGAAGGCGUCUAACUGGAACGGUUCUGACGGUGAGGGACGAAAGUUAGGGGCGCGAACCGGAUUAGAUACCCGGGUAGUCCUAACUGUAAACGAUGCGGACUUGGUGUUGGGGUGGCUUUGAGCUGCUCCAGUGCCGAAGGGAAGCUGUUAAGUCCGCCGCCUGGGAAGUACGGUCGCAAGACUGAAACUUAAAGGAAUU
rnacentral:rRNA from 1 species